rnacentral:rRNA from 1 species
UACGUAGGAGGCAAGCGUUGUCCGGAAUUACUGGGCGUAAAGCGCGUGUAGGUGGUGGGACAAGUCUGCUGUGAAAGCGCCUGGCUUAACCGGGCGAGGUCGGCGGAAACUGCCUCACUUGAGGACGGUAGAGGGGGGUGGAAUUCCCGGUGUAGUGGUGGAAUGCGUAGAUAUCGGGAGGAACACCAGUGGCGAAGGCGGUUGCCUGGAGCUUUGCUGACGCUGAUGCGCGAAAGCUAGGGGAGCAAACGGG